rnacentral:rRNA from 1 species
GCGGAAACGAGUUAUCUGAACCUUCGGGGAACGAUAACGGCGUCGAGCGGCGGACGGGUGAGUAAUGCCUAGGAAAUUGCCCUGAUGUGGGGGAUAACCAUUGGAAACGAUGGCUAAUACCGCAUGAUGCCUACGGGCCAAAGAGGGGGACCUUCGGGCCUCUCGCGUCAGGAUAUGCCUAGGUGGGAUUAGCUAGUUGGUGAGGUAAGGGCUCACCAAGGCGACGAUCCCUAGCUGGUCUGAGAGGAUGAUCAGCCACACUGGAACUGAGACACGGUCCAGACUCCUACGGGAGGCAGCAGUGGGGAAUAUUGCACAAUGGGCGCAAGCCUGAUGCAGCCAUGCCGCGUGUGUGAAGAAGGCCUUCGGGUUGUAAAGCACUUUCAGUCGUGAGGAAGGUGGUGUAGUUAAUAGCUGCAUUAUUUGACGUUAGCGACAGAAGAAGCACCGGCUAACUCCGUGCCAGCAGCCGCGGUAAUACGGAGGGUGCGAGCGUUAAUCGGAAUUACUGGGCGUAAAGCGCAUGCAGGUGGUUUGUUAAGUCAGAUGUGAAAGCCCGGGGCUCAACCUCGGAAUAGCAUUUGAAACUGGCAGACUAGAGUACUGUAGAGGGGGGUAGAAUUUCAGGUGUAGCGGUGAA